UUGUAUUUCUUUUCUCUUUUAUAUUUAUAUGUUCCAUAUAUUAAGGAUAUUACUUGUUAGACUACCUUAUCAGAAAAUUUUGGGAUGGACAUGAGAUUUAGGUUGCAAAUCUAAGAACCAAUUGUGUUCUUUGUGGUCCCUCAGCAUCUCAAGUUUAAUAUCAUUUCAGUGAAUUCUAAUCAAAUAUGUAAUAGUCUAAACACUCAUUUAGUAGAAUAUAUUUUUUUGCAUAUGUUAUUGUAGCAAUAUAUUUCCCUCUGACAUAACUUUUCAUUUUUUUCUCUGUUUACAUUUCUAUUUCAGUAAUAGUCUAAACACUCAUUCAGUAAUAGUCUAUUCCAAGACUUGCUGGGAACAGAGAAGAUUCACAGCUCAGGUGCUUGCGAUGUCGAGUUCCCGGUUGUGCAUCCUCCUUGGAGUUAUCAUUUGUCUGGGACAUUUUCAUAUUUCACCUUUGAAGGCAUUUGCACAGCCAAACCAUCAUUAGGUUAUGAUACUCUGGUAAACAUGGAAAGCUAUGCAUGCAAUUACGUUGUUGAUGGAUUUCAAUGCAACAAGAAUACCUCGUUUCAAUUCUAAAAAUGGCGGAAGUGGUCAAUUAGGACAAACUGCACUGCUGCAAAUUCAAGCUUUGCAAUAUAAUUAAUUCAUAGCUAAAACCAGCAAGGAUUGGGAAUGUAGGAUUGAUUAAGAUGUUGAGAAAUUGUUGAGAAUCCCUUGCAAGGGUUCAUGGAUUGAAUUGAACCACGUUUGAUACAUAUGUUAGUUAUAUGAUUUAACUCAGAACUAUAAUUAUAAUACCACAUAUGUUCAACCCAGUAACAUUGUUUACCCAAACUUAAAUGAAGCAAGGGUUUAUUGUUGAGCUUUGCCAUAUUGCUUGUUUGAACAAGUUAUAUGGGUUUUGUUAGCCCGAGUUUGGUUAUCUUAUAUGAUUCUGUAUUUGGAAUAGCGUGGUUUACUGAAUAAUUGGUUUCGGUGAAGAGUGAAGACUGAAGACACAGUUUAGCUUCUGUAUUUUCCAUCCUGUGAGUCUAGCUUCUUUUACUAAACUAGGAAGAGAAUGUACUAGUUUCAAAGAUUACAAAUCGGACAGUUUGAUUGUUUUCAACAAUUCAACUGGUCUGAUGGCCCUAUGUGUAUAGACUGUUCCUCUUGUCUAUUUUCAUUCCUUUCACACAUAUGAUCAUGCAUCUCCAUCUCAUAAAUUCAAUGACCUGUGGUUUUUCCAGGGAAUACCAGCA